CAUUACCGAGUUUACAACUCCCAAACCCCUGUGAACAUACCAUUUGUUGCCUCGGCGGUGCCUGCUUCGGCAGCCCGCCAGAGGACCCAAACCCUUGAUUUUAUACAGUAUCUUCUGAGUAAAUGAUUAAAUAAAUCAAAACUUUCAACAACGGAUCUCUUGGUUCUGGCAUCGAUGAAGAACGCAGCGAAAUGCGAUAAGUAAUGUGAAUUGCAGAAUUCAGUGAAUCAUCGAAUCUUUGAACGCACAUUGCGCCCGCCAGUAUUCUGGCGGGCAUGCCUGUUCGAGCGUCAUUUCAACCCUCAAGCCCCCGGGCUUGGUGUUGGAGAUCGGCGUGCCCCCCGGGGCGCGCCGGCUCCCAAAUAUAGUGGCGGUCUCGCUGUAGCUUCCUCUGCGUAGUAGCACACCUCGCACUGGAAAACAGCGUGGCCACGCCGUUAAACCCCCCACUUCUGAAAGGUUGACCUCGGAUCAGGUAGGAAUACCCGCUGAACUUAAGCAUAUCAAUAAGCGGAGGAAAAGAAACCAACAGGGAUUGCCCUAGUAACGGCGAGUGAAGCGGCAACAGCUCAAAUUUGAAAUCUGGCCCUCGGGUCCGAAUUGUAAUUUUGUAGAGGAUGCUUUUUGGUGAGGUACCUUCCGAGUUCCCUGGAACGGGA
rnacentral:rRNA from 1 species